rnacentral:sRNA from 1 species
UUGAUUUAUAAUGUUCGAAAUGUCGUUGCUUCCCUUUUCGGCAGCCACUGUACCAUGAGGUUGCUUGAUUUUCUACCCUGCUGGCUUAAACCCUUGAGAUGAAACAGAAUAAUGCAGGAUGUGAUUACAGUGGUGUAACAAUCAUUCUGGAGAAAAGCAGAUCAAUUCAGGGGACACUUGGCCCUUGCUUGUGAUGGAUCCUUAAAGCAAAUCUGAAUCUACUUCUUCACGGCCAUGAGAGGAAACCAGAAGCCCAGAGCAUCUUGAAGGCAGCCUUUAUUAUUUAUUUGGCUCUGCUGGUAAGAUGCCUCUGGUAAGGCAUCAUGUGCAAAGCAGGUCCCAUGCAAGCGGCGCAGGCAGCCCCAUGAUGGAGCUGCAUGGGGUUUGUUCAUAGCCACAAAGAAAAUCUUAUAAGUGGAUUAGUUUAGGGUUUAUUUUAAAAGAAAAGAGAAGCAUAGCUGUGGUGAUCUCUUGCUUAAUGACUAACGUUAAGCUGGCAUCCCUGCUUUCCUGUGUGGUGUGUGUUGAAGAUUGAUGAGCUGGAAGAACAAUGCAGUGAGAUCAACAGAGAGAAGGAGAAGAACACGCAGCUGAAGAGGAGGAUCGAGGAGCUGGAGGCAGAGCUCCGAGAAAAGGAGACAGAGCUGAAAGAUCUCCGAAAACAAAGUGAAAUCAUACCUCAGCUCAUGUCAGAGUGCGAAUAUGUCUCUGAGAAGCUAGAGGCGGCAGAGAGAGACAAUCAAAACCUGGAAGACAAAGUGCGUUCCUUAAAGACAGACAUUGAGGAGAGCAAAUACCGACAGCGCCACCUGAAGGUGGAGUUGAAGAGCUUCCUGGAGGUGCUGGACGGGAAGAUUGAUGACCUGCAUGACUUCCGCCGAGGGCUCUCCAAGCUGGGCACCGAUAACUAGGGCUGGCCGAGGCCCAGGCCCCGCCCGUGAGUCCCA